GGACGAGAAGCUUGCUUCUCUGAUGUUAGCGGCGGACGGGUGAGUAACACGUGGAUAACCUACCUAUAAGACUGGGAUAACUUCGGGAAACCGGAGCUAAUACCGGAUAAUAUUUUGAACCGCAUGGUUCAAAAGUGAAAGACGGUCUUGCUGUCACUUAUAGAUGGAUCCGCGCUGCAUUAGCUAGUUGGUAAGGUAACGGCUUACCAAGGCAACGAUGCAUAGCCGACCUGAGAGGGUGAUCGGCCACACUGGAACUGAGACACGGUCCAGACUCCUACGGGAGGCAGCAGUAGGGAAUCUUCCGCAAUGGGCGAAAGCCUGACGGAGCAACGCCGCGUGAGUGAUGAAGGUCUUCGGAUCGUAAAACUCUGUUAUUAGGGAAGAACAUAUGUGUAAGUAACUGUGCACAUCUUGACGGUACCUAAUCAGAAAGCCACGGCUAACUACGUGCCAGCAGCCGCGGUAAUACGUAGGUGGCAAGCGUUAUCCGGAAUUAUUGGGCGUAAAGCGCGCGUAGGCGGUUUUUUAAGUCUGAUGUGAAAGCCCACGGCUCAACCGUGGAGGGUCAUUGGAAACUGGAAAACUUGAGUGCAGAAGAGGAAAGUGGAAUUCCAUGUGUAGCGGUGAAAUGCGCAGAGAUAUGGAGGAACACCAGUGGCGAAGGCGACUUUCUGGUCUGUAACUGACGCUGAUGUGCGAAAGCGUGGGGAUCAAACAGGAUUAGAUACCCUGGUAGUCCACGCCGUAAACGAUGAGUGCUAAGUGUUAGGGGGUUUCCGCCCCUUAGUGCUGCAGCUAACG
rnacentral:rRNA from 1 species